rnacentral:rRNA from 1 species
ACACAUGCAAGUCGCACGAGAACGCUUCAGCUUGCUGUAGCUAGUAAAGUGGCGAACGGGUGCGUAACGCGUGGGUAAUCUACCUCUGAAUUGGGGAUAACAUUGCGAAAGCGAUGCUAAUACCGGAUAAUAUCUAAAAAUCCCCGGGUUUUUAGAUCAAAGGUGGCCUCUACAUGUAAGCUAUUGUUUGGAGAUGAGCCCGCGUACCAUUAGCUUGUUGGUAGGGUAAUGGCCUACCAAGGCAACGAUGGUUAGCUGGUCUGAGAGGAUGAUCAGCCACACUGGAACUGACACACGGUCCAGACUCCUACGGGAGGCAGCAGUGAGGAAUAUUGCACAAUGGGGGAAACCCUGAUGCAGCAACGCCGCGUGGAGGAUGACGCAUUUCGGUGUGUAAACUCCUUUUAUGAGUCAAGAAAAUGACGGUAGCUCAUGAAUAAGCACCGGCUAACUCCGUGCCAGCAGCCGCGGUAAUACGGAGGGUGCAAGCGUUAUUCGGAAUCACUGGGCGUAAAGGACGCGUAGGCGGGUUGUCAAGUCUGAUGUGAAAUCCUAUGGCUCAACCAUAGAACUGCAUUGGAAACUGGCAACCUAGAGUAUGGGAGGGGGAGAUGGAAUUAGGUGGGUGUAAGGGGUUAAAUUCCGUAGAUAUCACUAGGAAUACCGAAAGCGAAGGCGAUCCCCUGCAACAUUACUGACGCUGAGGCGUGAAAGCGUGGGGAGCAACGGGAUUAGAUACCCCGGUAGUCCACGCCCUAACGAUGACACUAGUCGUCGGAUGCUAGUCAUCUCGUGAUGCACUUACAGAUUAGUGUCGCUGGGGAGUACGGUCGCAGGAUGACACAUGCAAACACAUGCAAACACAUGCAA